GUCUCGGUGGUGUAGUUGGUUAUCACGUACGCCUCACAUUGGUGUCCGCGUAAGGUCCUGAGUUCGAUCCUCGGCUGAGACA